rnacentral:rRNA from 1 species
UACGUAGGGUGCAAGCGUUGUCCGGAAUUAUUGGGCGUAAAGAGCUCGUAGGCGGUUUGUCGCGUCUGCUGUGAAAACUCGGGGCUUAACCCCGGGCCUGCAGUGGGUACGGGCAGACUAGAGUGCGGUAGGGGAGACUGGAAUUCCUGGUGUAGCGGUGAAAUGCGCAGAUAUCAGGAGGAACACCGAUGGCGAAGGCAGGUCUCUGGGCUGACACUGACGCUCAUGCACGAAAGCGUGGGGAGCAAACAGGG